GACAGCACAGGGGAAACUGCCACUUUUAAGCUAUCAGAUCUUGUGAGAGCUCCCUCACUGUCACAAAAGCAGCAUGGGGGGAAACCACCACCAUGACCCAAUCACCUGCCACUGUCCCCCCCUAAACAAGUGGGAAUGACAAUUCAAGAUGGAAUUUGGGUGGUGUCACAGGGCCAAACCAUAUCAAGUACCUACAAAAUUAUGGUGACUCUUCACUAAUUUGCAAACUGAUAAUCUGCAAAUCUUAAAUAGAGAAUAAAACACAAAAAUAUCAUUAUCCCUCCAGAACUGAGGACAUAAAUUGGAGUUAGAAGAGUUAGCUUUGACACCUAGAUACGUUUUCAUUGAUUUGACCUUACUUGAUCUCAGUUUCUCUUUUAUAGAAUUAGUUCUUUAGAUCAGAGGUCCCCAACCCCAGGACUGCAGACUGCCACUGGUCUUUGGCCUGUCAGGCACCUGGCCACACAGCAGGAGUGUGAAAAAAAAGGAAAAAACUGAAAAUCUCAAGAGGAUUCCAGGAACUCAAAACAAUGAAUUACUGAAUAAAGAAUUUGAAAGAGAAAAUAGAUGCAUACUAAAAAAAGAAUUUUGUUUAGUGAGAUAGAAGUAAUAACGAAGGCAUGUUGAUAACGGGGGAGGCUAUAUAUAUAUAUGAGGGGAGGGAUAUAUUGGAAAUCUCUGUAUCUUCCUCUCAAUCUUGCUGUGAACCUAAAACUGCUCUAAAAAUUAUUUUGAAAAGGAA